rnacentral:rRNA from 1 species
AUUCACUUUAAUUUAAUGAAAAAAUUAAAUUAAGAUAAACUAUUAUGGAUAUUUUAGUGAAUUUCCAGCUAGCAACAUUGAACUAUUUUAGAAAUAAAAAUUCAGUUUCCUUAAAAAUUUAAGACAAAUUAGGUGCCAGCAGUCGCGGUCAUACCUAAUUAAUAAAUUUCAUUUAGAAAAUUUAAUUAAAAGUACUAUUUUUUUUAUGGUAAAAUAUAAAAAAAUAAAAGUCUAUUUUUUAAAAAAUAAAAAUUAAACUCAAAAAAUAAAACUAGGAUUAGAUACCCUAUUAUUAUUGAAUUAAAAAAAAAUUUCUAAGCACUAAAACUCUAAAGUUAAAACUUAAAAAUUAUGGCGGUAAAUUAAAUCUUUAGGGGAACUUACCAGAUAAUUGAUAACCCACAAGUUACUCUACUUUUAUUAAUAGUUUAUAUACUGCCGUUGUGAUUUUACUUAAGGUAAAAUCAUUUUUAUAAUUAUAAAUAAUAACAGGUCAUAGUGUAGCUUAUGUAAAAGUCUUAAGGUGAGUUACAAUAAACUUUUUUUUCAGAAUUUUCAUUUAAAUAAGAAAAUGAAGAUGGACUUAAAAGUAAUAAAUAAAUUAAUAAAUUAUGAAUUUAUUUUAAUUUGUGUACAAAUCGCCCGUCACUCUCUUUUUAAAAAGAGAUAAGUCGUAACAUAGUAGAGGUAAUGGAAAUUGUCUCUU